CUGCCAUAACAGGACAGCCCUCCCCUCCCUCCUCCUCCCUCCCUCCUCCCCUCCUGUCUCUCGCUCUUUUUUCUCCCCUCUCCUGUCUUUCCCUCCUCUCCCUCUCCCUCUUCUUCUUCACUCUUUUUUUCUUUUCUUCUUCUUUCUUCUUCUUCCUCACUUUUCCCUUAUCACCUCCUCCUCUUCCUCUCUUUUCCCCCCUCCCUCAUUCUCUCCCGUGUAUUUUGUUUUCCCCCCAUCUUCUCCUCUUCCUCUUCCUCUUUUCUUUUCCCCUCCUCUGUCUACUCCCACUCUUUUCCUCACUCGUUUUCUCCUCCUUGUCUCCUUCCCUCCAUGAAUAACAUUUAAAACUCUGAUUGAAGCUGAUAUAAUUAGUGUCUCUCUCUGUCUUUCGCUCCCUGUCUUCUAACACUGACAUGGAUUUCCAUUCCACAGAUUCCACACUAACGAGUGAAUAAAGCUCUUCAGGCAGUGACAGCAGACGGUUAUUUAUUCUGUGGUUACCUCUCACCAGCCGGGGUAUAAAACUGUGAGGUUGGACAGAGACACAGGGACAGAUGAAUGGAUGAUGAUGGGGUGUAUUCCCCUUCUUCAUCUCACGUUAUGUUGAUUUUCAUUUGUUAAAAAAACUCUGACAUUUCCCCUGAGAAGUGAAAUGAUCCUGAUGAUCAGCUGGUAGGUCAGACAGAAGCCACUACACAAAGCUCAGGAAUAUAAGAGUGAAACGAGGAGGCCGGGCUCACCGGAGGGAGGCCGGAGUAGAGCCGUCGAGCUUCCAUUCGAAAGUUGAGGAGGUUCAGGAGUCUGAUCCGGAUCCCUCCUGGGCUCCUUCCAUUGGAGGUUUCCAUGCUGGAGAGACCUGACCUGGACUGCCUUGUUUAACCUGCGGCCAUGACUCCAGAUAGAAACGGAUCAAAUAGACAGACAGACGUCUAAACUGAACCACGUGUGGGUGAGAGUUUCCUGCACGCUGCUUCUUCAUUUUGUCUCCAAAUGUAAAUACAGCAUCCCUCCUGUGUCGGACCUGGGACCGUAUAUAUGUGUUUUAUUCAUUUCUCCGAGUGUGUUUCCUCCACAUCGUGUAUCACAGGAUAAAAACCAAACCAUGUUGAGUGUGAGUGCGAUGAAGUCACUGCAGCUCAGUGUUUUCUCUUUGUUGUAGUUUGACUCAUAUUCUGCUGCAGUGACCCAGUUUCCCCUCAGGGCUCAUUAAAGUUUGAUUUAAGUUUCAUCUCACACACACACACACACACACACUUGUUCACUGCUCUCUAACUGCAGCAGCAGAGACCAUGCAUCACAGAGCUGUCAUCUGCAUCAGGACAAAACUCCAAACAGGAAGAAGUUCAGGAGGAAGUUUGUGAUGAUCACCUUUCACUGAAGUGGAGCUGUAACCACCUCCGGUCCAGAACUUCUCGUCCGAUUCGUUUGUGUCUCUGCAUGACAGAAGUUGAUUUAAUGGGGGAAAUUAACGAGAUGUCACAACCCUCUGCUGUUACGUUCCACACCUUCAUCCUGCUGCAGUCAGUUUGUUUCCUCCUUCCAGAGUCUUUCAAACACUUUCAAAUUUCUGUGUAAUUUGGUGAAAGUUCAGCUGAGUUACGCCACAGGGCCAGAAACAUCAUGCAGGUCCAGGAAGUGUUGAGAGUCUUUGUGAGCUCUUAUCGUUUGAAUGAGGAGUUCUGACUCUGUGUUUUGCCUCAGCUGUGAUCAGUGUCUCUGACUUUCAGGACUCGUGACUUGGACUUUGGAGUUGGAGACUCAGACUCAGACUUUUUUAGUUUGGUCGUAAUAAUUUGUUAUAAGAAGUUGACAGAUAUAUAAACACUGAUCAUUUAUUGUUGCUGUGUUUUUCUUUGUCUUUCACAUAAAUUUGACAUUUUCUAUAAAUGAAAAAUAACUACAGUACAAAUACAACAUACACUAAAAAAACUACCAAGAAUUCUGUAUGCUAAUGUGCUUAUUGCCAUAAUAUAAGCUCUGCGUCAUUUUGCCAUAAAGCUGCAGUGUAAUAAAGUAUCAUAAACACCCUCA